ACAUUUCUGCACAUUUUCAUCUUCUAUUGCAAAUGUGUUAUUCAUGCUUGACUGUAGGUCUCUGAUAAUGUGAUCUGUAGGGAGUCACAGGUGUGGAAGCCUUUACUCUUUUUACUGUUUGUAAUGGUUAACUUAGUGUCUUUUCACAUGGAAGAUGCAAAACAAAUAAAAACAAGUGAAUCUUCUUGCUACCCAGGAGUUAUUAAAAACCAUGAGAAAUGCACAAAUAAGUAUAACAGGUCACACAUGUGUGUUACAUAAAAUAGAAGCAGUGGGGCUGGAGAGAUGGCUCAGAGGUUAAGAGCAGUGUUUCUCUUGCAGAUGACCUGGGCUCAGUUCCUAGCAUCUACAUGGCAGCUAGCAACCAUAUCUGUAUACCCCAGUUCUAGGGACUCCAACAAGCAUGUCCAUGGUGCAAUAUGUAUGCAGGCAAUACAUUCAUACACUUUAAGUAAAACAAGUAGAUCUAAAAAAAAAAAAAAAAUGUUUUUAAAAAUAGAGGCAGUGGUAUAAAGGAGAUAUAAAAAGUAGUUUUGGUCAUGCAGAGAGAACUACACGUGUAAAUGGCAGAAGAGGAGAGAGCACCCCUGGCAGGGAGGCCAUGAUGGCUAGAACUGAGUGAGUGAGAGAGUGAGUGAGUGAGUGAGUGAGUGAGUGAGUGAGUGGCUUUUUGGAAAGACCUAACGUCCAAGUAAUGAUCGGCGCUGGGGCAGUGUGAGGCUGGAUCCUCUAAGAUUAUGUGAGCUCCUGUAUGGACUUCAAGACCUUUUUUGAACUAGAAAAAAAACCAGAGGUUUUUAAGCUGUGGAGAGUCCUGGUUACAGGCUGCUGUUCUGCCUUUAGGGAAGCUAGAGGUCACAGGCAAAACAAGGGAGCCGCUGGGAAACCAGUGACAAGCCAGGGGGGAUGGCCGCUGGGUGUUGAGGUAGCAAUGGGAGCCGCUGGGAAACCAGUGACAAGCCAGGGGAGAUGGCCGCUGGGUGUUGUGGUAGCAAUGAUAACAUGAAGAAGCGCUGAAACUCUGUAUUUUGGAGAACUUGCUGGAAUGCAGAUGUGGGGACGAAGGAAUCCAGGGAGCUCCUGGCUGCAAGCAGUCCUGGGAAUAAUAAGGAUGGCUUGUGUGAGUGCAGAUGAGAGGAGAGGUCAGAGGUUGUGCCGCUGGGGCCGAGCCUCUGCCUGUGGUUCUGCUAGAGGUAGACAUAGCGAAGGAGGCGAGGUAGGUGGCUUUCAUUUAGAACAGAACUUUACAGUUUAAAAACAAAUGUUUGCUUUCUGAUUUUUAAAAUAUAUUUUCUUUUCAGGAAACUUAACUUACAAAUGUUUUGUAUUGAAAAAGAAAGCCAGAAAAAGUCACAUGGGUCUGGUAGAAGACUGUCGGCUUCCAUCCUCCUGAAUUGGGUCUUUAUUAUGUUUGAUGUGGCCUAAAUUUUUUAAACAGUGCAGAUUUGUUUGUUUUUAAGGCACCUACAGUGUUAAAAUACAACCUCAGUAUAAUG